GUAUUUGUCUACAAUGCCCGAAACAACCUACAAACGUGGAAUGUGGGUUCUAUGUUAUGAAAUACAUGAAAGAUGUGAUUAGAGAUGAGAGGAUCUUAAGCAGAGGAAAUUUCAAUGGAAAAAAAACUUACAUGAAAGCCGAAAUUGAUGAAGUGCGAGCCGAGUGGAUAAAGUCUGUCAUGAACGAAGUAUAAUCAACUUAUACAUGCAUGCUCUGAGAAUGACGAAGUGCUUGAAAUUGGCUUCAGAGAAUGACGAAGUGCGAUUCGUUGUAGCUUAGGACAUAACUCCAUGCUUGUGGUUCAAGUUUUCUUUGUCUUUUUUGUUGUUGAAGCUUUUGUUCUGCAUUUUUUUAUGCAUUUUCAGAAAUUUAAUUGAUCUUAUAUUGAAAGUAGGCUUUCUGGCAC